AUGCCGACGCCGACGCCGAAGCCUCGCCGCCAUGCGCUGCUGCUCGCGGCGCUCGUCCUCGCGGCCGGCGCGGUCGCGCAGGCGGACGACGAGGACGCGUGGGACAAGAAGGGCGACGGCGGGAGAGGGGUCGUGUACGGCGCGAGGAAGCCGCCCAGCUUCAGCGCGCCCAUGGUGGUGCUCCUCGUCGCGCUCAUCGCCACCUUCUUCUUCAUCGGCUUCUUCUCCAUCUACAUCCGCCAGUGCGGCCGCGGCAACUCCCCCACCAUCCCGGCCGCCGCGUUCCUCGUGCUGUCGCGCCAGCAGGAGCAGCAGCAGCAGCAGCAGGCUCGGCCGCGCGGGCUCGACCCGGAGGUGGUCGCCUCGUUCCCCGCCAUGACCUACGCCGAGGCGAGGGCGCUCCGGGACAAGGACGCAGGAGGCAAGGGCGACGACGACACGACCGUGCUCGAGUGCGCCGUCUGCCUCAGCGAGUUUGAGGACGGGGACCAGCUCCGCCUCCUCCCCAAGUGCAGCCACGCGUUCCACCCGGACUGCAUCGGGGAGUGGCUCGCCGGCCACGUCACCUGCCCCGUCUGCCGCUGCAGCCUCGCCCCCGAGGAGCCGGCCCCGGCCGCGGCCGAAGCGGACGGCGCUGGCGGGGAGGAGCAGCGGGCGCCGGAGGUGGCCAUCGACAUGAACCGCGAUGGCGAUGGCGAGGCGCAGGAGGAGAGGAUGAGAGAGGCGGCGGAGCUGGAGCGGAUCGGGAGCCUGCGCCGCGCCGUGCGGUCGCGGUCGGGGCGGCCGUUCUCGCGCGCGCACUCGACGGGCCACUCCCUCUCUGCGCGGUUCGACGGCGACCUGGAGCGGUUCACGCUGCGCCUCCCGGAGCACGUGCGCAGGGACAUGGUAGCCGCGGGCGAGGAGAGCCUGCGCCGCACGGUGGCGCGGGACGCCGGCGCACGGAGCGCGCGGAUCGGCCGGUCCGACCGCUGGCCGUCGUUCAUCGCCAGGACAUUCUCCUCUAGGGUGCCGUUCUGGGCGGCCUCGAGGAGGGCGCCGGACGCGGAGGCGGUGGGAGCGCCCGCCCCUACGACUCCGACGGCGCCGCCGCUGCCAAGAACCGUUCGUGAGAAGACGUCGGACGGGUCCGUGGGCUCGGCCAACAACAAGGGGAGCGUGCGGUUCGACUGCCUCGGCGGCAGGGUCGACGGCGACAGCGAGGAGGAGCCGGAGGAGGAGAAGGCGAUCGUCCGGCGAGUCUGA
rnacentral:rRNA from 1 species